rnacentral:rRNA from 1 species
GAUCUGGUUCAGGAUGAACGCUGGCGGCGUGCUUAACACAUGCAAGUCGAACGGAGCUUAGAAGGAAGCUUGCUUCAUUAAGCUUAGUGGCGGACGGGUGAGUAACGCGUGAGUAACCUGCCCUUGAGAGGGGAAUAACAUCGAGAAAUCGGUGCUAAUACCGCAUAAUGUCGGAGUACCGCAUGACAUUCCGACCAAAGAUUUUAUCGCUCAAGGAUGGACUCGCGUCCGAUUAGCUGGUUGGUGAGGUAACGGCCCACCAAGGCUUCGAUCGGUAGCCGAACUGAGAGGUUGAUCGGCCACAUUGGGACUGAGACACGGCCCAGACUCCUACGGGAGGCAGCAGUGGGGAAUAUUGGGCAAUGGGCGCAAGCCCUGACCCAGCAACGCCGCGUGAAGGAUGAAGGUCUUCGGAUUGUAAACUUCUUUGAUUGGGGAAGAAUAAAUGACCUACCCAAAGAACAAGCCACGGCUAACUACGUGCCAGCCGCUGC